CCGCGGGAUUAGAGUUUGAUCAUGGCUCAGAUUGAACGCUGGCGGCAGGCCUAACACAUGCAAGUCGAGCGGUAACACAAGGGAGCUUGCUCCUGAGGUGACGAGCGGCGGACGGGUGAGUAAUGCCUAGGUAUCUGCCCAGUCGAGGGGGAUAACAGUUGGAAACGACUGCUAAUACCGCAUACGCCCUACGGGGGAAAGGAGGGGACCUUCGGGCCUUCCGCGAUUGGAUGAACCUAGGUGGGAUUAGCUAGUUGGUGAGGUAAUGGCUCACCAAGGCGACGAUCCCUAGCUGGUCUGAGAGGAUGAUCAGCCACACUGGAACUGAGACACGGUCCAGACUCCUACGGGAGGCAGCAGUGGGGAAUAUUGCACAAUGGGCGAAAGCCUGAUGCAGCCAUGCCGCGUGUAUGAAGAAGGCCUUCGGGUUGUAAAGUACUUUCAGUUGUGAGGAAGGGUGUGUAGUUAAUAGCUGCGCAUCUUGACGUUAGCAACAGAAGAAGCACCGGCUAACUCCGUGCCAGCAGCCGCGGUAAUACGGAGGGUGCGAGCGUUAAUCGGAAUUACUGGGCGUAAAGCGCAUGCAGGUGGUUCAUUAAGUCAGAUGUGAAAGCCCGGGGCUCAACCUCGGAACUGCAUUUGAAACUGGUGAACUAGAGUGCUGUAGAGGGGGGUAGAAUUUCC
rnacentral:rRNA from 1 species